GACGGAGGGGGCUAGCGUUGUUCGGAAUGACUGGGCGUAAAGGGCGCGUAGGCGGUUUUCUAAGUGAGGCGUGAAAGCCCUGGGCUUAACCCAGGAGGUGCGUUCCAUACUGGAAAGCUUGAGUGCGAGAGAGGAAAGCGGAAUUCCUAGUGUAGAGGUGAAAUUCGUAGAUAUUAGGAAGAACACCAGUGGCGAAGGCGGCUUUCUGGCUCGUAACUGACGCUGAGGCGCGAAAGCAAGGGGAUCAAACAGG
rnacentral:rRNA from 1 species